GUUGCAUAGAUUGUAAGAAACAUAAAGAUGGGGAUAUGGGAUUGAGAGAGCAGAUUGACAUAAAAAAAAAGACUAACAUUCAGUUGCAUACAACACAUGAUAAUAAUUCACAUUCCCGCAGGAAGAACGUUACAAGAAAGUAUACAUAACAAAAAACAUAAUGACCAUUCACUUUCCGGGAACAAAGUUGGUGGCAUAGGCCCAUGCGUUGUUGUUGACUGGGUCGGCAAGAUGAUCGGCAAGGUUCUCCAAAGGUCCCUUUCCGGUCACAAUAGCCUGAACAAAGAAUCCGAACAUAGAGAACAUGGCUAAUCUACCGUUCUUGAGUUCCUUAACCUUCAACUCUGCGAAAGCCUCUGGGUCGUCAGCUAGGCCCAAUGGGUCAAAGCUGCCUCCUGGGUAUAGUGGGUCAACAACCUCACCAAGAGGACCACCAGCAAUACGGUAACCUUCAACAGCGCCCAUCAAGAUAACUUGGGUAGCCCAGAUGGCAAGAAUGCUCUGAGCAUGGACCAAACUUGGGUUACCCAAGUAGUCAAGUCCACCCUCGCUAAAGAUCUGGGAUCCGGCCUUGAACCAUACAGCCUCACCGAAUUUAACACCAUUGCGAGACAAAAGCUCUGGGAAAACACAUCCCAAGGCUCCCAACAUAGCCCACCUACUAUGGAUGACUUCAAGUUCACGGUUCUUGGCGAAUGUCUCUGGGUCAGCAGAAAGUCCAGCAGUGUCCCAUCCGUAGUCACCUGGGAACUCUCCAGUCAAGUAAGACGGGGGCUCACCAGAGAAUGGGCCUAAGUACUUAACACGGUCUGGGCCGUACCAUGGGCUUCCUGAGGAGGCUACUUUCUUGGUGGUAGCAGCCUUCCUCAUGGUGAACCUUGCAGCUCCCAAUUCUUGGCUUGAAGGGGUUAGCUUGACUGGCUUGCCAGCCAAGGUUGGUGAAGAGAGAGCCAUGGAUGAUGCGGCCAUUUUGCAAUGAAAUUAAAAUGCUUGUUGUGCUUUUGAUAAAUGUACUCGUAUGAAUGGU
rnacentral:lncRNA from 1 species